UAAAAAAGACAUGGAAGUUUGCCUUGUAAUUAGAGAUUUGGUUUCAUUGCUUGUUGUUGGGUUAUUAAUGAUAUGGGGAUGGAGAACUUUAAACUGGGUAUGGCUGGCCCCAAAAAGGCUCGAAAGCUGCUUGAGACAACAGGGUUUUGCAGGGAAUCCUUACAGGUUCCUUUCUGGUGACAUAAAAGAGCUCUUCACUAUGAGCAGACAAACAAGAGCCAAACCAAUGCCUCUUAGUGAUGAUAUUGGGCCUUAUGUUGUUCCUUUUCAACAUCAAACUGCUAACCAGUAUGGUAUGUUUUUUUUAUUUAAUCUGCAAAUUAUGAUAAUUCUUUGUUAUUUAUGUAUGGAAUUUAUUGGGAGGAAAUGCAGGAAAGAAUUCAUUUACGUGGUUUGGUCCAAGACCAAGGGUGAACAUUACGGACCCUGAAAAAAUAAGAGAAAUACUUAACAAAUUUAAUGACUUCCAGAAGAUACGUACCAAUCCUCUGCUUAAUUUGCUUGUAAGCGGCCUUGUUAACCUCGAAGGAGACCGAUGGAGCAAGCGUAGAAAAAUCAUAAACCCUGCAUUUCAUCAAGAUAAGUUGAAGGUAUAGAAUAGUGAUGGGUAAUCAGACUUUACAGAAAACAUCAUACUUAAACCAAUGCUUUUCUGAUUUAGAAAUAAUUGGAUGCAGAAUAUGUUGCCAGCAUUUUAUCAAAGUUGUAGUGACAUGUUAAGCAAAUGGGAGAAGAUGGUGUGUACAGAAGGAUACAGUGAGUUAGAUGUGAGGCCUUAUCUCGUAGAUUUGACAAGAGAUGUGAUUUCCCGAUCUGCUUUUGGAAGCAGCUUCGAAGAAGGCAAACGAAUUUUCCAAUUACUAGAGGACCAACUCGUUCUCACAAUCAAAUUAAUACAAACUGUUUACAUUCCAGGAUGGAGGUAACCGUCAACUUAAUUUACUUGAAAAAGGUUGCAAAUCUUGGAAUUGGCUAAAUUCGUGUUUGUUUUCUUGAAGGUUUUUGCCAACGAAGACAAACAGGGAGAUGAAGAUGAAACACAGAGACAUAAAAGAGUCGCUUAGGGAAAUGAUAAAGAGAAGGGAGAAGGCAAUUAAAGCAGGGGAAGAGAGCAAUGAGGACUUGUUGGACAUACUUGUGGAAUCCAAUAUCAGAGAAAUGGAAGCAAAGAAUAUGGGGAUGAGCAUUGAGGAUGUGAUUGAGGAAUGCAAGCUGUUUUACUUUGCUGGCCAAGAGACCACUUCGGUCUUACUGGUGUGGACUAUGGUUUUAUUAGCAAGGUAUCCCGAUUGGCAAAGUAAAGCAAGAGAGGAGGUUUUGCAUGUUUUGGGUGACAAUAAACCUGAUGCUGAUGGCCUUAAUCGUCUCAAAGUUGUAAGUCCCUAGCAUGUCUUUUGAAGGUCCGAUCAAUGAGGUCGACAACUCAAAAACUUUGUUUCUUUUUUCGCUAAUUCUACAGGUAACGAUGAUAUUGUACGAGGUUCUAAGGCUGUACCCACCGGUGGUUGAGCUAGGACGUUCCGUUCCAAAAGAAAUAAAACUGGGGAAUUUGUUGUUACCAGUAGGAACAGAAGUUUCGGUUCCGAUCCUGCAGAUCCACCAUGACAAAGAUCUUUGGGGUAACGACGCACGGGAAUUUAAGCCAGAGCGGUUCGCGGAAGGGGUUUCCAAAGCAACAAAGAGUCAAGUCACGUUUCUGCCAUUCGGAUGGGGUCCUAGGAUCUGUAUUGGCCAAAAUUUUGCUUUGAUGGAAGCCAAAAUGGCGAUGGCUAUGAUUCUCCAACGCUUCUGGUUCGAGCUUUCCCCUUCCUAUGCUCACUCUCCUUACAGCAGGGGAACUCUUCGUCCACAGCAUGGUGCACAGAUAAUUUUACAUAAACUUGGCUGUAAUUGAAUUGUUAUGUAAACAAAUCUUUGUGAAAACAUAGCGUUUUAGUGUAUCGUCAAAGUCCGGUGUCUGUAAUGGUACAAAUUCGAUGCAUGAAUAGUAAAUUUUGAGAUGUUUGGUGAAGUCCGAAAUAAUAUGCAGAAAUUGAGCGUCUAUGGUGGACAUAGUUGAGGGACUAAUGUGGUAAUUAUCAAUCAAAUAAUUCGGUACAAAGACUUGUAUGGAAAUUAAAGCAGGGGGAGUUGAAAAUGACUACUCUGCUUUGGGCAUCAAUUUAGAAAGAUUUAAAGUACAACUGUGUUAUCAGUUAAGGGAUUUGUUUUAAAGAGGGAAUGACAAUUAAACCUCAUGGUUUAUUUGUGCAAGGGAACCGAUGAUGGGAUGAUUAUUCUUAGUGGUAAAAAAAACCAUUAUGGAGGUUAUUACACUUGUUAUCAUCAGCUUAAAAUUCGAAUGGGUUCAAGUCGGAUUAUAUCGAGCUUGUAAGAUGAGUUCACGGACCAAGUUUGCAUAAUAAAAUACCUAAAUGAAAAAAAAUUCUAUUUUAGAGGGACGAGAGCCCCUAUCAACUCCCGGCUCAGCCACUAAACAAUACCUAUAUCAUAUAAAUAAAUACCACCAUCUAAAAGACUCAAAGAAAAACACUCAACAAAGGAUAAAUAGAUAGAUGUUGGAUAAGUGUCCAAAAUAUGAUUUAAGUGAAGAUACAUGUGGUAGGUGUUACGGAAAUGUGAAGACAAGAAUCCCACUAACGUAUGGGAUGUGUGCAGUUGAAUGUAGGGAGCAAAAAGAGGAGUGAAUCAUUUUGGUAACAUUUGGACAAGAAACAUAAUGAACAAAAUGGAAGGAGAGGAAGCUAGUAAAAGAAUUUUUUUGGGUCAUAUAAUUUGUUCAUUUUGGAGUUGAAUUAUAAUUUUUUUAUAUAUUAUUUUAAAAUUUUAAGGAGUUAAAACAAAAUUAUUUUAUUUUCAGAUGGUCAAAGUAGAGGUGAUAAUGGGUUGGGCUAUUCGGCCCGGCCUGACGAUUCACUCGAAAAAUAGGAGGGUUUAGGUAAAAAUAUAGGCUCGAAAUAGGGAUUUGAGCAAAAAAAGAGUCCCGUUUAGAAAAUGGGCCAGGCCUCGGGUAAAAUUUUUUGGGCCCAAGCCUGACCUGAAUUAUAUAUUAAAUAUAUUUUUUAAUUUUUAAUCAAAUAUACUUUUUUUUAUUAAUUUGGUUAUUAUUUUAGUUCUAAUUUGUUUCAAUUUUAAUAUAACCACUUUUUAUUAUAUUUUCAAUUUGUGUAUUGUUUUAAGAAUUGUUUUAGUCUCAUUUUUUUAUUUAUUUUUUGUUUUAAUAAUUGUUUUAAAAAUUUUUAUUUAAUGAAAUAAGCUAAAAAAAUUAAUAUGGGCUUGGCCAGGCCAGGCUCGGGCCUAGUAAUUUUCUUUUGGGCCGGACUUAGAUAAAAUUUUAAGCCCAUAUUUUAAAUUGGGUCCUAACCUAAAAAAUGAACCUAAAAUUUUAUAUGGGCCCGACUUGGCCCUUGAUUACCUUUAGGUCAGAGCUAUCCUCGUUUUGCAUUUCUUUGAGAUUCAGCCUUAUCUACUGUGAUUGCCCACUCAAUUGAGGGUUGAGUAGAAAGAUUUGGUGAAGCAAGCUAAGCUAUCAAUCAAGGUUUGCAUAAUUAUUUAAAUGUAAUUCUAAUAUUAAAAUAAUUUUUUUAUUAAUAUAGUAUCAACAAGCAUUAAAUGUAAUGAUCAUAUACUAUUACAUUUUAAAGAAGAGAAAACAUGUUUGAACUUUAAAAACCACGUUACUAAAAACAUUAUCACAAACCUUGAAAUAUAAAAAAUAAUUUUUUUAAUAUAAUAAAAAAUUAAUUUUAAACCCGAGCUGAAUAAAAUUCUAAUUUUAGUUAAUGAUACGAACAACAAAUCAAUAUUCUAAGCCCGAGCCCUGCUCAUUUUUUUAAUAAACACCAAAAAUUUAUUUUGAAAAUAAAAAAUAAAAAAAAUAUUUUAAAAAUAUUUUAAAAAUAAAAAAAAUUAAAAAUAAAUAUUUAUUAUAUAUUCAGGCCGGGCCGGGCUAGCCUUGGGCUAAAAAAAUGGUGCCCGAGGCCCGGCCCAUUUUCUAAAUAGGCCUCAUUUUUUGUCCAAACCCAUAUUUUGGGCCUAUAUUUUUACCCGAACCUCUCAUAUUUUGGGCGGACCGUCGGGCCGGACCGGGCCGCCCGGCCAUGAACACCUCUAGGGCAAAGUCACUCAAUGAAUGCAUGGAAAGAAAUAUUGCAACUUGGUGACAGCUUUUGUUGGAGUUAUAUGCUUUUUUUUACAUAGUGGAACUUUCGGUGGAUUUUCAAGUUUCAUGAACUUUAUACCCUAGGCUUUACGUGAAAAAAAUCAUUGGACUUAAAAGUCUACCAAAAGUUUCACUAUAAUAAAUAAAUAAAUAAAUAACAUUGCUACAAGACUACAACAUAAAGUUACAAUAAGAGCUUAUAACUCAACAAAGGCUAUCAAUAAAUAAUCUCAAGCAAGCUAAAGAGAAAUGUUGAGAGUACCACUCAAAUAGUGAUUGACUUUAAAAAUUGAAAACCCGAAGUUAUUGUUGACACCAUUUUUUGGAUGAAAAUGUGUCGACUUGGGUUUUGAAAAUGAAAACGAAAACGAGAGUCGCCACCAAUCCUUUUUGAUAAGGUGUGACUGGGUCACCUUGAAAAGUGGUUGUUUUUAAUAAACGAUUUGAUUUUAUUAAAACAACAGUUUUGGUCCACGAAAUUCAGAAAAAUGAGUUCGGGAGUCGGUUACGCACGAGGAAGGAUUAGCACCCUCGAUACGCCCAAAAUUGGUACCUAGUUGAUUACUUAAUGUCUUAAUGUCGAAAAUUGAAAACUUUGGAGAAUUUUAAACAUACGAUCCUUGUAUUAAAACGUUAAAAAUUUUCAAGAAAAUGGGAUAUUUCACGUUAUUCGAUAAAGAGAAUCAUAUCCUAGUAAGUUAGGACACAAUAUCUCGAAUUUCCGAUAUCAUUUAAAACUUGAGUUUGAAAAGAUUCGUGUAAUAAAGUUUAAAAUAAUAUUCAAUUGUUUAAAUCAAAUGAAGAAAUCGCAACCCAAUACGUUAGGGCACAAUUUCUCAAAAUAUUAAACAUUGAAUAUUGCAUUUAUUUCGAAAAAUCCUCAUCUCGAGAAAACGUGUCACAUCCAAUGCAUUAGAAUACAACGUAUUGAAUUCUCGAUAACGAGCUUUUUCUCAUUUUUUAAAAGAGUAAUCUCGAUUAUUUAGGUUCAACGAAGAAAAUCAAAACCCAAUACGUUAGGGCUCGAUUUUCUCAAAGAUUCCAAAUACCGAGUAUUACUUAUAUUUUUAAAAUUUCUUUUUUGAAAUCCGAGUAAAAAUGAAUGCAAAAUAAUAAAUGAUGACAAUGUAAAUAAAAUGAUACAAGCAAAACAAUAAACAAUAAAAAUAAUCAUACGGGCAAGGUAACAAAUAAUUAGGAACUAAAGAAAGAGAACAAACAAUAAUAAACAUGCAAAUAAAUGAACAAAAUUAACAACAUGAUGCAAAUAUGAAAGAUAUAUAAGCACAUAUAUAUACAUAAAAUAAUGAGAAUAUGAAAAAAUGUGUGUAAUUGGACAUGUUUCGGAAUUAUUAUACAUUUAAAAAUCAUGUAAAUGUGUGUACAUACAUAUAUACAUAUAUAAUAAUCAUUAAAUAUAUAAAAAUACAUAUGUGUAGGUAUAUAUGAGUCAUAAAAUGUAAAGAAUAUAUACAAGAUAUAUUUUGAACGUAUAAAGUAUAUGUAAAUGUAUAUAUAUAAUAAAGGUGUAUGAAAGCAUAUUUUAUAUACGUGUAUUUAUAAAAUGUAUAUAAAUGUAUAUUGAUUUACCAAUACAUAUGGAUUUAUAAUUAUAGAAUAUAUAUAAAAUAUUUACAUAUAUACGUUUAUGCAUAUAUAAAAGUAAGUUAUUAUAAAAUAUGAGCAAGCAGAAUACAUAAAUAUAUAUACAUAAAAUAAAAAUGAAGAUGAAAAUAAUAUAAAACUACUUAAUAUAUUAAUAUAAUAGUAACAAAUUAAAAAAACAGAAAAUAAAGCUAAUAAUAAUUAAUAAUAGUAGUAAUAAUUAUAGCAGCAAUGAUAAUGAUAAUAAUAAUAACACUAAAAAAAUUAAUUAAAUAAUAAAAUUGCUAAAAAGGGAUUAAAUCGAAAUAAAAACAUAAAUACUGGGCGAUUUUGAAAUAAAAAACGGGAAGGACCGAAUUGCAACGCGCGUUGAAAAGGAAAGGGCCAAAACUGCAAAUAAACCACAGCCCCAAAACGCAGCGUUGAAAUGGACCAAGUCGAAAUAAAAAUAAAAUUGCAGGGGCUAAAUUAAAAAUAAGAGAAAAUAACGAAAAAUGAUCAAAUUGUAAUACGCUGCAAAAUCAGGGGGACUGCACGCGCAAAUAGCCCAAAAACUGAAAACACGCGGAUCCUCCGGGUCGGGUCGGGUCGGGUCAGGUCGACGUGCGGAUCCCCUUUGCUAAAACGGCGUCGUUUCAUGUUUAAUAUAAAUACUAAAAAAAGCUAAAAAAAACAGUUUCAUCUUUUUUUAAAAAAAACAGAGAGAAAACUCUCUCUUUUUCCCUCAGGUCCGGCCAUGGUCCGGCUUGGGAUUUCCGACGAGUCUCCGCCGCAAAGCCACCGUGUGUGGCGGCCGGAGGUUCAAAAUCAGACCUUUUUGGUCCUUUUUUAAAGUCCAUGGCCUCCAAGCCACAGAUCCGGGGCUGAAUCUCCUGAAUCGAAAGCCGAAGACCCAAAAAAUGGGGUGAAAUCCUUCGCCUUCCUCCCCCUUCCGGCGCUGCGCAGGUAAGGUUUUUUUUAACUCCUUUUUUACUAUCUUUAUUUAUAUAUAUACAUGAAGAGAAAAGAGAGCAAAAUAAAUAAAUAAAUAAAAACUUCAAAACUGAAGAGAAAAAGACCUUGAAUCUGCCUUAUUUAUUUUCUUUCGGUUGAAUCUGUUUUUGUUUGUUACAAAAGUUUCCAGGGAAGAGAAAAAAAAAGAGAGUUACAUGCUUGGCUUUUAUAGCCGAUAUUAAUUUCUAUUUUUUGUUUUCUUUUUCCUUUCUUUUCUUUGGCUGUUGCGUGUUUGCUUCCUUAUUGCAGGGUGAUUGACGGGAGUGGUUGGCGACAGAGUCGGUGGCCACUUGCACUGAUGAAGCAGCGGUGGCGGCGCUAGGGUAGGCUAGGGACGGCGGCAGUACUAGGGUUUCAGAAAACUGAAACCCUAGUUUGACAAAUUGGUUUCGGGCCUGUUGGGCUUUAAAUUAUGGGCUUUGUAAUUGGGUUUUGGGUUUAGGUGAUUUGGGUUUAGGUGGUAUGGGCCCGGGUCAAAUUUUGGGUAAUGGGAUUGGGGCAAAAUUGGGUUGUACAGUUAUAAUAUCCCAAACGAAAUCAAACUAUAAACAUUAAAUUUUUCGAGUCUUCUAGAUACUGUAAAAAAUUCAGCUCCAACGGACACCAAAUGAACCUAUGAUCGAAGAAAAUACGAAGACUAGUCUGGCUAAAUCAAUCUGCCAAACUUACUUUUUAUCUUAUCUUUAAUUUGCUGUGAAAUUCAAAACUACGUGUAAUACUCAAUUUAUGCUCGACCCAUUUUGUUAAAACAAAUAAAAAAGAAAAGAAAAACAAAAUAUUUAAAUUUAGCCCAAAUGUCCAUUUACACAGCCCAAUUACAAUUGCAAAUAAAAAAAACUAAAACUAAACCCGAUCCUAAGCAUCAGCCCAAAUUCGACCCAUGCCCAAAACGAAUUCAGAUGCAGAAACCCUAGCCCAGCCUUAAUGCAAGCAAAAGUCGAAAGCCCUAAUAGUUGGUGCGCCGCUCCUGUAACAGCCCGAUUUUGGGCCUAGUCGGAACAGUGGUUUUGGGACCACAAAUCCGACGAGAAAAAAAUGUAAUGGCCCGAAUUUUCAGAGGUGUCAGAACGGUGAUUCGAGAUCACUAAAUUCGACAAAUGGGUAGAAAAUAUUAUUAAUUUAGUAAGUAUAAGUUAAAUGUGAAGUUAGGAAAAUUUUUGAAAUGGUGAAUAGUACACUAGAAAUAAAUAUUAAAAUAAUUAGAAUCGAAAAUGAGGUAUCGAGACCUCGGGGAUUUUAAACCGAGCCAUAAAUAUUUUUAUAAAUAUUUAUGUAGUCUUAAAAAGUUAGUAUUAAAGUUUCGUUAAGAAAUUUUAAAGUUCCGAUAAUUAAUUGAACAAAAAGGACUAAAUUGUAACAAAUACAAAAUUAUGAGAAAUGAUUAAAUAGUUUAAAUGAUAAAAGGAAGAGGGCUUAAAAGGUAAAUAGACCCAAGGUCUAUUUGGGCUGCACGGCAAAGGCAUGAAAUCAGCAACAAAGUAAGGAGAAUUAAGGGCAAAAUUGGAAUAUUGCAAAAUUUACUUAAUAAAGUUAGGACCAAAGUGGAAUUAUCUAGAUUUCUCUUUAUUUUUCUGCAUUAUCAUCAGCAUAAACACCAUAGAAGGGUUUUCUUAAGCUGGUUCUUCCUAUUUUUACUGCAGGUAAGUUCAAUUCUUGAUUAUUUCUUGAAAAUUUUGUGUUUUUGUGACUUUUACAACUAGGCCCACUUAUUGUAUUCAUUAGUUUUUGAUUCUAUGAAAGAAGUUGAAAGUUGCUAUGAAUACAUGCUGGAAGUAUAUGAUGAUUUAGCAUGGAAUUAGAGCUUUAAAUUGUUCAUAUGCUGAUUUAUUGAAAGAAUUGAAUAGAAAGUGAAUGUUUGGGACCUAAUAGUAAAAGAGUUUGAAGAUAGAGUUAUAUGUGGAAAUUCUGAAUUUCAAUAGUUGUGAAACAACUUAUAAUGUCUAGGUUAAGUAUUAAUUGAGAAAAUUAAAUUAAUUGAGGGGUUAAUUGAGAAAGGACCGAAUUGUAUAAACUGUGAAAUUUGGGGCAAAAAGGAAAUCAACAUUUUACACUAAAGCAGUUUUGGACAGCAGCAGUAGUAUAACUUUGAAAAAUCACCAAAAAUUUUGAGAAUUGAAUUAGAGGGUGAAUAAAAUAUAAAAUUAAAGCUCCUUGAAUCUAGUUUCUCAUAGAAGAAACGGUGUAAGCAAUGGAAUUGUAAAUCAUGAGAUAUAAUAAAUUUUGUGAGACAAUGUCAUAAUGAUUUCGGGUUCCCCUAUUCUGACUUUGGAAAAUCAUCAAAAAAUUAAGAAAAAUAUGAGUUAUAAUUUAUAUGAUUACAAUCCUUAAUGAGUCUAUUUUCAAAGAAAAUAAACGGAAAUAUCAUCCAAAUUCUGUACAAUUAUAUAAUUCAUUUUUAGUGAAGAGUGGUCGAAACUGUCAGACAGCGAAAUAGGGGGAACUUUAAAGAAUAAACUGUACUAUUUGGCUGAACCAAAAAUUCUGAAAAUUUUAUGGUAAGAAGGUAUGUGAGUCUAGUUUUAAGGAAAAUUAACGGAUCUUAAUUUAGAGCUCUGUAGCUCUAGAUAAAAAUAAUUUAGUGACUCUGACUCAGAUAAAUAGCUUUGAAUGUACAUGUGAGUGAAUAGUGAAAUUAUAGCUAGUGUUGUUUAAGUGUGUUAUACACAUUAAGGAUAUGGAAUGGAGAGGAGGAGGAGGAGGAAAAAUUGGGAAAUAUAUGAAUGAUUUGUGUAUAAUUGGUCAUAUGCUUAAUUAUAAUUGAUAAACGAUGAAAUAGAAAUGAUGCAUAUAUUUGUGCAGUAUUGGUCAUGGUUUAAGCUCAUGUGGGAAAAUAAAGUUUAUAGUACGUGUGUAUUAUAUUUUUGGUAUAUGAUUUGGCAUUAAGUAAUGUCGUGAAUGGAUAUUGAAUUAACACAUGUUGGAAAGUUUGAUAUAUGAAUAAAUAUUGUGAUCAUGAAAGAGUGUUACAGCUCCUGCCUUCAGCACGCGUCGAGCCUCCGCGCCAAAUCCACGUGAGCCUCCGUACACUCCAACUAGCCUCCGUACCUGCAACAAACAAAAGUAGACAAAACAACAGCAAAGGAUAGGAAGAAAAGGCAGUAAAUAGUGAAGAUUUUUCUGUAAUUUUCUUUGGAUUUCAUUAUGUAUUUUCGGCUAUAAAAGAGCCAUUAGGAAUAUUUGUAAAGGGUUUUUUUUUUACCCUCACACACAAAGAGAAUAUACACGCAUACAAGAUCAAUAUAGAGAAAGAAAUAAAAAUAAAUAAAUACAAAGAAUAGAAAAUCAAGUUUCGAAGGUGAUUCUUUGAAAAAUCCUUUUCGUUUUUCUCAUUUUUCCUUUUUCCUGGAUCUUUUGUUCAUUUCAAGUAAAAAAAGUAUAGAAAGGAAACAAGUUUAGAGGAAGGAGGUUUACCUGGACGCCGGACCUCGCUCGCCUCGUCGAAAUCGAAGGCUGAGAGGGGAUAAAUCGGUUUUGCGGCAGAAGGAAAGGGGGGCUAGGGUUCUUGUUUUAACUUUUUUAAAAAAAAUAGAAAAGGUUGCUAAUUAGGUUUUAAUGGGGGAUUUAUGUGUGUUAAAAAAACGACGUCGUUUAGCGACCUUUGACCCGUGCGGUGACCCGACCCGAGGAAAGGAUCUGCGCGUUUUGGGUCUGAUGGGUUUAUUGCGCAACAAGCCCUUCCGCAUUUGUUUUUCGUUUCAAUUCGGUUUUUAUUUGUUUUUUAAUUGUUUUCUCAUAUUUAGUUCCAAUUUCAAUUGGGUCCAUGAUUAAACGACAUCGUUUUCAUUGAUUGGGUUUGAAGGCCUGGUUUUGUGCGUCUAAAUUGCAGCAAUGGUCCCCCUGAUGUGCAAUAGUUCUCGAUUUAGUCGUCUCCACACUUAUUUCAAAGUCGUCCUUGAGAUUUUGUUUUAUUUUUGAAAUUGUCCUUGUCUUCUUUUAAUUUAUAAUGAUAUUAUUAUUAUUGUUGUUGUUAUUAUUACUAUUAAUAUGGGUAUUGUUAUCAUGUUAGUUUAUAUCUAUUUAUUUACUUUUAUUUUAUUAUGUAUUAUUAUAUAAUGCUUUUAUCAUGUAUCAUUUUAUAUAUUUUCUAUGUUAAUCUAAUAUGAUAUAUAUAUAUAUAUGUAUUUUUGUGAUCUUAUUUUAUAAUACUUUUUUAACCCAUUUAUAUGCCUUUAUGUUUUAAAGAUUUAUAAUAUUUUGUGCAAAACUAUUAUAUAUAUAUAUAGAUAUACAAUUUAUAUUAGACCAUUUUUAUCGUACAUAUACGUAUAUAUAAUUUAUAUUUUGAAACUCUAUUUUAUUAUAUUUUAUGCCUCUAUAUACAUCAUUAUAUGUUUAUUAUUCUUUAUAUUAAACCUGCCAUUUCACUUAUAUAUUUUUAAAACCAAUGUGUAUUAUUCUUUCUUCUUUGUUAUUUUUUAUCUCUUAAAAUAGAUUGAUAAUUCAUUUAAUUUUUGAAUGUUGUAUGACCGAGAUUAUCGUUGCCAUUCUUGUCCAAAUUUAUCCAUUGCUUGUUCAUAUUAUUUGAUAAUUUAUCGCUCACUAGCAUGUAUCGUAAUUUACGAAUUAUCAUUUUGAAUUAUGUACUACCAUUCAAUCGCAUUACAUUUGUUUGGAAAACAUCGAAAUCGUUUUGCACAUAAACCUUCAAAAUGCUUGGUAUCCAAAAUUCUCGAGAGGAUUGUGCCCUAAUUUAUUGGGCUUCAAUUCCCCUUUUUGAUUUUAAAUAACCGAAUACCCCUUUUUCAAUUUGAACAUAGAAAUUCCAAAAUAAAAAAAAACUCAUUCUCGGGAAUUUGAUGCGUUGUGUCCUAACGUAUUGUAUAUGACAUAUUUUUCUCGAGACGAGGAUUUUUCUAACAAAUAAAAAUAAAGGCAAUAUUCGAUAUUUAGGAAUUUUGUGAAAUCGAACCCUAACUUACUGGGUUUUGAUUUUUUCAUUUGACCCAAGUAGGAUAUCCUUCACAAAUGCACAGAUUUUAAAAAAUCAAAAGAUAAACUUAAUUUCGAGGAUUUAAAAUGUUACACUCUGACUUACUGAGUGUGUCAAUUUAUUUCUUUGAAAUAAGUGAGUCUUAUCAUCCAAUUUAUUUUAUUCAAAUUUUCUUUUCCAAGGAUCGUAUUUUAAAAUUUUUUCAAAAUUUCGACAUUAAGACAUUAAGCAAUCAAUUCAGUACCAAUUUUGGGCGUCACGAGGGUGCUAACUCUUCCUCGUGCGUAAUCGACUCCCGAACCAGUUUUCUCAAAAUUCACAGACCUAAAAUUAUUUUCAAGGUGAUCCGAUCACACCACAAUAAAAGAUCAGUGGUGACUCCCAUUCCUAUUUUUAAAAGUCGAUUCCUGUUUUUCAUAUAUAAAAAAAUGGUUUCGACACUACGGUUUUGUUUGUUUCCCUUAGAACAACUUUCAAAAAGUUAAUUUUGAAAAAUGGAUUGAAUUUUCAAAAUAGAUGAUAUUUUUUUGUGUUAAAAUUUUAUUCGUUGUUUGAAAAAAAAAUUUAAAUCAUUUUCUUAGAAUUAUUUUUAGUGAAACAAAUAUAUCAUAAAUAUAUUUGUUAUAAAAUAUUAUAUUAAUAUUUUCUUUUAACAAUUAAAAUAUAUUUUGUGAUAAGGUAAUAUUUUAUAAUAAUUAAUAUCAUAUAUACUUAAUAAUAAAUCAUGUCUAAUUAAAAUUUAAUUUCAAUUAAAUAUAUUAAUAAAGCUACAUUUAAUCAUAUUUUAUAUAAUUAAAAUAUUAAUAUAAAUAUUUUUCAAUAAUAUAUUAAAGAAUAUUUAAAAUUUAAAUUUAUUAUUACUAAGAUUAAUUAUUAAAACAAAAAUGUAAUAUUAAAUAAUUUAUCCAAUGAUAAGUUAUAUUAAUAAUUUAUUAUAUUAUUAAAUAUAAAUAAUUAAAUAUGUAUGUUUAAUAAUAUUAUGUUAUAAUAUUUAUUACUAAUAUUUUAAUAUUUUUAAACAACCAUGUUUUAAAGAUGGUGGUGAUGGUGAUGGUGCAGGCCCCCUUGUUAAAAUUACAAUAUUUUUAAGUGGGAUGCAUGUAAUAUAUUGUUAGGGUUUUAGAGUAUGUGGUCUUUAAAAGGGUUAAAUUAUAUAUUUAUAUAAUAUGAUUAUUGUUUAUAAACAUAAUAUUGUAGAUAAGUUUAUAUGUAUGUCAAUAUGUAUCCUACUCUAAGGUUAAUAUGUAUUUUUUAGAUGUGGGUUUACCUAUAUAAUAGUAUGAAUCCAUCAUGUGGUCUCAUGAAAUAUACAAACACAUAUCGUGCGAACACAAAGUACGAACAAUAAAAAAUACAAAUCAAGACCCAAUUGAAUAAUUGAAUAACGGAUAGGUAAUAAUGAAUAUCAUAACAUUUACUAUCCCCUCUUUUCUAGUGAGUUAUUGUUUAUGAUAAAUUUGCAACAAAUGUUUUUAUCAUUAUUUUGUUGGUAAAUGAUAAUAAGAUUAAACAUUACUUUCUUAAGCUCCUUCAAUUCUUUGGACGUUAGCGAGUAAACUUGAGCUUCAGCAUUCCACAAACACCUUAAUUUGAAGACACAGUUCUCUCAUACUAAAAACGACAUGGACGUUUACCUUGUAAUUAGAGAUUUGGGCUCAUUGUUGGGUUAUUAAUGAUACGGGGAUGGAGAGCUUUAAACUGGGUAUGGUUGGCCCCAAAGAGGCUCGAAACGUGCUUGAGACUAGAGGUGAUCAAGGGCCGGGUUAGGCCCAGUCUAGAAAAAAAAUUAGGCCCAUUUUUUAGAUUUGAACUCGGCUCGGCUCAAAAUAUAAGCUUAAAAAUUUGUCUAAGUUCAGUCCGAAAGAAAAUUGUUAAGCCCAAGCUCGACCCAUAUUAAAUUUUACAACACCAAAAAAGUAUAUUUAAAUAAAAAUAAAAUAUAUAUAUUUAAUAUAUAAUUCGGGCCGAGCUGAACUCGGGCCAAAAAAGUUUUACUCGGGGCUGGUCCGUUUUCUAAACAGACUUCGUUUUUUUUGCCAAAAUCCAUAUUUUUACCCGAAUCUUCCUAUUUUUUGGGGUGUGCCGUCGGGCCGAACUGGGUAACCGAACCAAUGAUCACCUCUGUAAUCACUGAAUUUUGUCCGGGAAUAACUUUCGUUAAAAAAAUUUUAAAAUUAAAAAAAAAUUAACUUUUUUGCUUUUUGACCCCUAAACUUUUCUAAAAUUUCAUUUUAACCCCUAAACUUUCUCAAAAUUACAGUUCAACCCCUAAACUUUUCUAAAUUACAUUUUGACCCCUAAAAUUUCUUAAAAUUACAUUUGGACCCUUACACUUUCUCAAAAUUACGUUUCGGCCCCAAAAUUUUUGCUACAUUUACAAAUUGGUCCUUCUGUCAGAAAAUCCCCAAUAAUCCGGCGGAUUUCGUGCACCUGCCCCACUAUUUCCGGCAGCCGGCCUAGGGCAUGGCCUUCCCCACCUGCUACCUGCAAACAAGAAGCAAAAUCAACUAUAAAAAGGAGUUUAAACUCCAAAAAUCGGACCCCCACCCACGAAAAAAAUAAAAAAAAAAAACUUGAAAGAAAAAGAAAAAAGCUUUGAGAAAGAAAAAGAAAAGGAAAAGAAGAGAGGGGAGAAGGAGAGGCCGACCAUCGGCGAGCCACCGGAGGAGGCGACGGCAGCAGCGGCAUCGACGGCGGCGUAGAAGACCGAACGGAGAAGAAGAAGAAGAAGAAAAAAAAAGAAAGAAGAGAAAGAAAGAAGGAAGAAGAAGAAGAAAGAAACAAAAAAAAAAGAAAAUAUUUUGUAAUAGUCGGCCCGGCCCGACUCGACCUGCACGACCCGUGACCCGACCCGACAGCACCAGCAACCUAGCAGGCCACGGUAGCAGCCCGGCGGCCCAAAGAGUAGCCCAAAAAGAAAAAAAGAAGAAGAACAAAGCAAAAAAAAAAAGCAGGCCAUUUUCAGCAGGCCCAGUGCAGCCCAGCAGACCCAGCGAACCCAGCAGGCCAGGCCCACACGCAAGCAGCCCAACAGAAAAAAAGGGAAAGAAAAAGAAAAGAAAAAAGAAAAAAGAAAAAAGAAGAAGAAGGGGUUCAAUUUGUAUUAUCCGUUCGGCGAAGCUCGUGUUUUGAGGAUUUUUUUUCGGUAAUUUUAUUUUUUAAUUUUAAUUUAAUGCUCGUAUUUUUUUUAAAUAUUAUUAGUAUUUUAUGCAUUUUUAUAUUUUGGCAUUUAUAUUUUUAAUUUAAUUUACUUCAAUUUUUAUUUUAUUUUAUUUUAAAUAAUUUUAAUAAAUGAGGCAACGAAUCGAUUUAACAUAAAAUCGUUGAUUUCAUUGCUAUGUUGGGUGAAUAUCAUCGGUUUGUGUUAAACACGAUACACCCUUUUUAAAAAAAAGAAAAAAAUCGAAAAAAUUCUAAAAUUCUCAUUUUUUUAAAAUUCUCGUGUUUUAAUAGAAUCACGAUUAAAUAUUAAGUUGAAUCGAUUUGGCACUAAUUCGAUGAUUUCAUCUCCAUGUAGGGAUGAAUAUCAUUUAUUCGUGUUAAAUAUGGUACUUCUGAAAAAAAAUCGGGUUUCAAAAAUUUUCGUGUUUUCAAAAAUUCUCAUGUUUCAAAAAUCUUCGUGUUUUAAAAAUUCCAGUGUUUCAAAAAUUUUCGUGUUUUCAAAAAAAAAUUUCUCGUGUUUUUAAAAAUUCCCGUAUAUCGAAAUUUUCUUGUUUUCAAAAAAAAAAUUCCAUGUUUCAUAAAUUUCCGUGUUUUCAAAAAAAAAUUCUUGUUUUUCAAAAAUUUUCGUUUUUAAAAAAUUUGACCGUGUUUCAUAAAUUUUCGUAUUUCAAAAAAACCUCGUGUUUCAAAAUUUUCGGGUUUUUUUAAAAACAAUUCGUGUUUCUAAAAUUCUCGUAUUUUAAAAAAAAUCGUGUUUUCAAAAAAAGAAAAAGUUGUUGUGCUUUAAAAUUAUCGUGUUUCAAUCGGAUCACGAUUAAUAUUAAAUUGAACUCGUAUUUUUGAAAAUGAAAACAACGCGCGUUUAACGAGAUACCAAUUUUGGGCGUCGCGAGGGUGCUAAUACCUUCCUCGCGCGUAACCGACUCCCGAACCUUAAUUUUCUCUGAAUUUUUACGUGGACCUAAAAUUACCUCUUUUUAGAAAAGUUUAAAAAUGAAUUUUUCUUCUAAAAAGAGAAUUUUGUAGGUGUCCGAUCACACCUAAAAAAAGAUCGGUGGCGACUCCUUUUUUUCAAAUAAAAUCGAGAUUCAGUUUUCAAGUUUUUAAUAAUUACUUCGACAAGCGCCCGUGCGCAAAAUUUUUAAGUCGCUACAGCCUCUACUUGAGACAACAGGGUUUUGCAGGGAAUUCUUACAGGUUCGUUUCUGGCGACAAAAAAGAGCUCUUCACUAUAAGCAUACAAACAAGAGCCAAAACUAUGCCUCUUAGUGAUGAUAUUAGGCCUUAUGUUAUUCCUUUUCAACAUCAAACCGUCAACCGGUAUGGUAUGUUUUUUUUAUUUAAUCUGCAAUUUGUGAUAAUUCUUUGUUAUUUAUGUAUGGAAUUUAUUGGGAGGAAAUGCUGGAAAGAAUUCAUUUACGAGAAUUGGUCCAAGAUCAAGGGUGAACAUUACGGACCCUGAAAAAUAAGAGAAAUACUUAACAAAUUUAAUGACUUCCAGAAGAUACGUACCAAUCCACUGCUUAAUUUGCUUGUAAGCGGCCUUGUUAACCUCGAAGGAGACCGAUGGAGCAAGCAUAGAAAAAUCAUAACCCUUGCAUUUCAUCAAGAUAAGUUGAAGGUAUAGAAUAGUAAUGGGUACUCAAGACUUUAAAGAAAACAUCAUACUUAAGCCUAUGCUUUUCUGAUUUAGAAAUAAUUGGAUGCAGAAUAUGUUGCCAGCAUUUUAUCAAAGUUGUAGUGACAUGUUUAAGCAAAUGGGAGAAGAUGGUGUGUACAGAAGGAUACAUUGAGUUAGAUGUGUCGCCUUAUCUCGUAGAUUUGACAAGAGAUGUUAUUUCCCGAUCUGCUUUUGGAAGCAGCUUCGAAGAAGGCAAACGAAUUUUCCAAUUACUAGAGGACCAACUCGUUCUCACAAUCAAAUUAAUACAAACUGUUUACAUUCCAGGAUGGAGGUAACCGUCUACUUUAAUUUACUUGAAAAAGGUUGCAAAUGUUGGAAUUGGCUAAAUUCGUGUUUGUUUUCUUGAAGGUUUUUGCCCACAAAGACAAACAGGGAGGUGAAGAUGAAACACAAAGACAUAAAAGAGUCGCUCAGGGAAAUGAUAAAAAGAAGAAAGCAGGCAAUUAAAGCAGGGGAAGAGAGUAAUGAGGACUUGUUGGACAUACUUGUGGAAUCCAAUAUCAGAGAAAUGGAAGCAAAGAAUAUGGGGAUGAGCAUUGAGGAUGUGAUUGAGGAAUGCAAGCUGUUUUACUUAGCUGGCCAGGAGACCACUUCGGUCUUACUGGUGUGGACUAUGGUUUUAUUAGCAAGGUAUCCCGAUUGGCAAAGUAAAGCAAGAGAGGAGGUUUUGCAUGUUUUGGGUGACAGUAAACCUGAUGCUGAUGGCCUUAAUCGUCUCAAAGUUGUAAGUCCCUAGCAUGUCUCUUGAAGGCCCGAUCUCUGAGGUCGACAACUCAAAAACUUGGUUCUUUGUUUCGCUAAUUCUACAGUUAACAAUGAUAUUGUACGAGGUUCUAAGGCUGUACCCACCAGUGAUUGAGCUAGGACGUUCCGUUCCAAAAGAAAUAAAACUGGGAAAUUUGUUGUUACCAGCAGGAACAGACGUUUCGGUUCCAAUCCUGCAGAUCCACCAUGACAAAGAUCUUUGGGGCGACGCCGCACGGGAAUUUAAGCCACAGCGGUUCACGGAAGGGGUUUCCUAAGCAACAAAGAGUCAAGUCACGUUUCUGCCAUUCGGAUGGGGUCCUAGGAUCUGCAUUGGCCAAAACUUUGCCAUGAUGGAAGCUAAAAUGGCGAUGGCUAUGAUUCUCCAACGCUUCUGGUUUGAGCUUUCCCCUUCCUAUGCUUACUCUCCUUACAACAUGGCAACUCUUCGUCCACAGCAUGGUGCACAGAUAAUUUUACAUAAACUUGGCUGUAAUUGAAUUGUUAUGUAAGCAAAUCUUUGUGAAAAUAUAGUGUUUUAGUGUAUCGUCAACGUCUGUCUGUAAUGGUACAAUUCCGAUGCAUGAAUAGUAAAUUUUGAGAUGUUUGGUGAAGUCCGAAAUAAUAUGCAGAAAUUGAGUGUCUAUGGUGGACAUAGUUGAGGGACUAAUGUGGUAAUUAUCAAUCAAAUAAUUCGGUACAAAGACUUAUAUGGAAAUUAAAGCAGGGGGAGUUGAAAAUGACUACUCUGCUUUGGGCAUCAAUUUAGAAAGAUUUAAAGUACAAAUGUGUUAUUAGUUAAGGGAUUUGUUUUAAAGAGGGAAUGACAAUUAAACCUCAUGGUUGAUUUGUGGAAGGGAACCAAUGAUGGGAUGAUUACUCUUAGUGGUGAAAAAAAAACUAUUAAGGUGGUUAUUAUAGUUGUUAUCACCAGCCUAAAAUUUGAAUAGGUUCAGGUCGGAUUAUAUUGAGCUUGCAAGAUUAGUUCACGGACCAAACUUGCAUGAUAAUAGGUAUUCACAACAAGAUAUCUAUAGUUUCCAACAAAGUCACAUGUGAGAUCGUGCAUUAGAACCGCAUAAACAUGUUUUAUGUUUAGAAUAUGAUAUGUGUCUAUGUGUAUAGAAUCUACCUAAUAUAUCAUAUUAAUGAAUAGUAUCAAUUGCGGAGCCAAAAAAUUAUUUGUGAGGGGUCAGAAUUAAAUUGUAUAUUUUUACAAAAAUAAAAAUUAAAUUUCACUAUUUUAAUAGUUUAUUUAUUUUUAAUUUUUAAAUGAUUAAAUUAAAUUUUAUAAAUUUUUAGGAUCAAAGUAUAAUUUUAUCAUUACUAAUUUAAAAUUUUAUAAAUUAUAAAAAGUUUAUAUGAAAAGUUUUCUAUUUUAGGGUGGCCAAAGCCCCUGUCAACUUCUGACUCGAUCACUUGCGGUUAGUUGGGUAAAGACUCAAGAAAAAUAGCGGUGUGUUUGGAUGGACGGUGCGUUUACUUGCGGUUAGUGUAAAAAUAGCGGUGGCGGUGAGAUUAGAUACUAUAGCAACACUGUAGCGUGAGACAAAAAGUAAGUUAAACGCACUGCACUGCACUUAAUCGUCUAUCUAAACUCACCAUAAGUGUCUAAAAUAUGAUUUAAGUGAAGAUACGUGGGGUAGGUGUCAUGGAAAUGUAAAAAAAAAAAAGAAUCCUACUAAUGUAUGGGAUGUGUACAAUUGAAUGCAGGAGUGAAUCAUUUGGGUAACAUUUGGACAAGAAACAUAAUGAACAAAAUGAAAGGAGAGGAAGCUAGUAAUAAAAGAUUCUUUUGGGUUAUAUAAUUUGUUUGGCAUAUAUUUUUAUAAUAUUUAAAUAUCAUUUUGGAGUUGUUGAAUUAUAAUUUAUUUUUAUGUUUUAAAACAUAAUUAUUCUAUUUUUAGAGGUCAGAGUAGAGGUGAGCAUGAGUCGGGCUACUCGGCUCGGGCUGAAGGCUUGCGCAAAAUGUGAGAGAUUUGGGUAAAAAUAUAGGCCCGAAAAAUGAGUUUAGACAAAAAAAAAUAUAAGGCCCGUUGAAAAAACAGGCUAGGCCUUGGGUAAGGCAUUUUGGCCCCAGACCCGGCCCAACCCAAAUUCACUAAGGGCACGUUUGGUUCGCUGUAUUGGAAUAGAGGCGUAAUGUAAUAGAGGCGUAAUGGAAUAGAGACGUAAUAGCAAAUCAAUUGUUUGGUUGAAUGUAAUGGAAUAGAGGCGUAAUAGUAUUCUUAUAUUUGGUUGAAUGGAAUAGAGUUGUAAUAGCAUAAGGAAAAAAGUUAAAAUGACUAGAAUACCCUUAGCAGAAAUUUGUUUAGAUAAAUGAUUAUUGUUAUUGUUAUUAAAUUUUAAUAAGAUUAUUAAUAUCAGUAAUAAAUAAUUUAAUCAUAUUUUAACAUAAUUAUUAUUAAAUAUAAUUUAAUAAAAAUAUAUAAUUUAAUAAAAUUCUUAAUAUUAAAUAUUCUUAAUAUUAAAUUACUAAAAUCAUAAUAUAUAAUACUAUAAAAUAUAAUUUAACAUAAUUAUUAUUAAAUAUAAUUUAAUAAAAUUCUCAAUAUUAAAUAUAUUCUUAUAUGAAUUUACUAAAAUCAUAAUAUAUAAUACUAUAAAAUAUAAUUUAAAAUAAUUAUUAUUAAAUAUAAUUUAAUAAAAAUAUAUAAUUUAAUCUAAAGUUUGAAUGUGUAUUUACCUAGCAAAAAUCAAUGAACUCUCGUGUAACUAUAACCUUAAUAAUAUAUGAUGUAUAAUUAAUAUUUCGUGACUAAUUAAUAGCAUAGAGAUAAAUAUAGUAAUGACGAAUUUAUAGUAUACGAUUAAAAUGCUAAUAAUUUAUAGUAUACAAUUAAAAUAUUAUAAAUAAAAUAAUAGUAAAUGAUAUAUAAGAUAAAUUAACAUAUAAAUAAUUCAGAUAUGUAAAGGAUAUGGCUGAAUAUGGUUGCUCCAAUAAUAAAGGAUAUAUAAUAUAUCAUGGUGUUGUUUUGUUUAGAUAGUUCGGUAACUUAGGAGGGUAUGUAUGAAGAACACAAGUUGAUGCAGAUAGAAAGACGACAAUAUUACAUGAUUACAAUAUGAUAUAGUAUAUAUAUAUAAUUUAUGGAUUCCUUGCAAUCACGUGGGUUCUCUAGCCAUUUUAUUUAGCAUAUCCAGUGAUAUUAAGAUCCAGAAUUAUAAUACAACUAAAAUCUGUGCACACUUAUGGAUGAUCCAACAAAGCCUCAGUUGGCUUUAGGUUCCAAAUCUUGCAACCCACAAACCAUAUUUGCUGGCACUGCAACAUCAAUCAUCUUAGGAUAUGCCAAGUUAAGAUCUGUUGCACCAACAAAAACAGAGGAGAAAUUGGAAGGCGAUCCGAAAAAACCCAAGGAUGCUUUUUCUUUUCUUUUUUUUUUAUAAUCUUUAUAGACUGGUUAUAUUGAGCAUCAACUUACUUUCCAUGAUGUUUUUGAAAGUCUCUUACAAAAAGGGUAUUCAACAAAUAAUAUAAUCAGACAUAUUGAUAGGACAAAUUGAAACUAGUAUUCUAUGAUCAUAAUAAAGAGUAAUCUUUAAUCAAAUGCGUGAAGGUAUUGAGAUGUCAUGCUUUUUCAUGAUUUCCUGUUUUACCAUGGCGAUGUUCAUUGGAAUAGUCCCAUCCAAGAGAAUCAAACCAAUGCUCAGCAAGAAAUGUUCAAUGCAUAUGUAAUUUUAAUUACAGAAGUUAUAUGCAGCUUAUAUGAGUUCAAGAUCAUAAAAUACUUCAUGGACAAAAGGAAACCCUUUCUUAUCACUGAAAUGAAAAUAGGCACUCUUAAUUUUCUAUUGUCAAAAGUAGCAAGCCAUUUUCCAAAGAAAAGGGAAGAUGGAUGGUUCCAGAAAGAAUACCUCAUCCUUUGUCAAGUGUGGAUUAUAUAGCAUCUCCUCUCCCACAGUGGUUACCUAUAAUCAAUGAGGUUUAUAAAAUCGAGCAAUCAUUUAUAUAUGUAAGAAAUGAUAGGAAUAAAGUUUUAUAUCUUACUGAGAAUCCUUUGUAGUCAUGAGCUGGAUAUAGCAAUGUCUCUUUCGGUAAUGUAAAAAUCUGGAUCCAUGAAACAAAUAAGUCCAUAAAUUUUAUUCAAAUUUUGACAAUUACAAUAAAAUUUUGAGAACUCAAAGAAUGUGACCAUAAAAAGUCCCCUGUCCUUACCUGUGAAUGCACUGACUUGUAGAGUUGCUGUGAACUUCCACCCUGCAAAAUGCAUUAAUCAGUGCUAGUCAAUGGCUACUGAAUGUGGGAGCAUUAGAGAAAAUUAUCUUAAAAACUUAAGUAUAACAAAAUUAGACAAUGACAUCCAGAUGGAAAGAAAUUGCCAGCAUAUAAGACCAGCAUUUAUGUACUCACGACUGAAAAUCCUUUGCAAAAAGUAUAGCCCUGAUAGUUCAAACUUUUACUUCAAGGAUGAUUUAAUUACUGAUUAGUUUGCCAUGAGGCUUGUGAAUGACAAACACUUUAUGUGCAACCACAGUAACAAGGUAAGCACCAAUAAGUAGAAGACUAGACGAAUAGGUAACCAAGAGUUAGAGCUAAAACAGACAAACAGAGCUACUAUCCAAUGAGCUAAAACAUACAAACAGAGGUAUAUUUUAAUAAUGAAAAUAAUCGAUUGCCUUAAACACCAUAUAGUGUUCCAAUCAAUCAAAUUAUAGCAGGCAUUAAAACCUUUCCCUUUCGUUAAUUCACAACUAUUAGCUUCAUUAAUCAAAUCCUAUGUACAGUUGAUCGAUUGAAAGUGUAACAUUUCAAAGACGAAAUUUAAACGCAAAACUGGUUAACAUUGAAAUUACAUGUAAAUAUAACCUAAAAAAUCAAAAAAUUAAUCAUAUUUUCAGAUUUCAGGCCGAAAUGGAAUGAAAUGAAAGGUAAAUCCAUUUUUUCCCCAAAAAAACAAAAAUAAAGAAAUAAUAUUUCAAGAACAGAUCAUUAAAUUCAUGGUAUAUAUAAAGAAAUUUAAUUGAAAUCAAAGGAAUAGAAGAAGGGAAAAGCGUACUUGGAACCAUUGCUGCUACUCUCUGUUACUCUGUUACCUCAUACGAUUCGUUAAAGGGUUGUUAGGGUUUGUUAAAAGGUUGGUCAGGAUAGAAGCAUGAAAAGGAGGGAGAAGGUUGGAAGGAAAUGGGAAGAAAAAUGAAAAAAAGAAGAAGAUGCUGCAACGGCUUGGAGGGUAAAAGAGGACCGAUUAGGUAAUCCUUUCUUUUGGAAGGGAUUACAAAUCGGCGCUGCAUAAGGGAAAAUGGGGAAUCAGUGCGCUGCGUAAUAGGCCCGUAUUAAGGCAAUACAGCCAACCAAACAUGGUAAUCAGUGGGGCCACGAAUUAGGGGUGUAUUGGCUAAUCCAAUACACCCAACCAAACAUGCUCUAAAGGACAAAAAAAUUUGAUUUUUUAAAUAUUAUUUUCUCUCUAUUUUGCUAUCAUUUUACUAUUAUGUUGCUACUAUGUUAUUGUUAUUUUUGAAUAUUGUAUAAAACUUAUUUUAUUGUUAAUUUUGUUAUUAUUUUAAAGACAUUUGUUAAUUUUGUUAUUAUUUUAGAGACAUUUGUUUGUUAAGUUGCAUCUAUCUUAGUGUUAUUUAAGUAUACAUAUUUUUUAAAAUUUAUUUUCAAUUUAUUGGGAAAUAUUUAUUUUGAUGUUUUUAGUAUUUUGGAUGUAUUAUAUAUAUUAAAAUUAUAUAAAAAUUAAUAUGGCCGAGCCAGGUCAGGCCCAGAUUUUAGCAUUUUUAUUCAGGUCGGGCUUGAGCAAAAUUUUAAGCCCAUUUUUUGGGCCAAACCAGGCCUGGGCUUAGCAAAUGGGCCUAAAUUUUUAGUCAAGCUCGACCUAAACCCGAUCCGGCCCAUGCUCACCUCUAGAUCAGAGCUGCCCUCGCUUUGCAUUUCUUUGAGAUUCAGUCUUAUCUACUGUUGAUUGCCCACUCAAUGGAGGGUUGAGUAGAAAGAUUUGGUGAAGCAAGCUAAGCUAUCAAUCAAGGUUGGAGAAAGCUUAGGAGGUCACAAUGCAUAAUUAUUUAAAUGUAAUUCUAAUAUUUAAAUAAAAUUUAUUAAUAUAGUAUUAACAAGCCCUAAAUGUAAUGAUUAUAUACUAUUACAUUUUUAAGAAGAGAAAACAUGUUUGAACCUUAAAAACAUCAUUAUUAAAAAUGAUAAUUACAAAUUUUAAAAUAUAAAAAAUAUAAUUAAAAAUUAAUUUUAAACCCGAGCUGGAUAAAAUUCUAAUUUUAGAUAACGAUACUAAUAAGAAAUCAAUAUUAAAAUGAAAAUGAAAAGUAAUUUAAUAUAAUUUUUGAGUCUUGGGCAAAGGCACUCAAUGAAUGCUUGGAAAGAAAUAAUGCAACUUGGUGAUAGCUUUUGUUGGAGUAAUAUGCUCUUAUUAUAGUUUUAUGUUUUUAUCUUGCAAAAACAACAUAUUGGAGUUUUCGGCAUGAUUUUUUCUUAAUACUUUACAUGAAAAAUAAUAAUGGGACUUAAAUUGCUACAAUAUUACAACACAAAGUUACAAUAAGAGCUUAUAACUCAACAAAGGCUAUCAAUAAAUAAUCUCAGGCAAGCUAAAGAGAAAUGUUGAGAAUACCACCCGAAUAGUGACUGACUUUAAAAGUUGAAAACCCGAAGCUAUAUUAUCUCAAACGAAAUCAAACCAUAAACAUUAAAAUUUUCAAGUCUACUAGUUACUGUAAAAAAUUCAGCUCCAACAGACACCAAAUGAGCCUUUGAUCGAAGAAAGUACGAAAAAUAGUCUAGGUAAACCAAGCUUCCAAACUUACUUAUCUUAUCUUUAAUUUGCAGUGAAAUUCAAAAUUAAGAUUUUGUUUAUUUCACUUGGAACAACUUUCAAAAAAUUAUUUUUGAAAAAUGAAUUGGUUUUUCGAAAUAGAUGAUAUUUUAUUGUGUCAAAAUUUUAUUCAUUGUAGGAAAACUUUUUUUAAAUCAUUUUCUUAGAGUUAUUUUUAGUUAAAUAAACAUAACAUAAAUAUAUUUGUUACAAAAAAUUAUACUAGUAUUUUCUUUUGACAAUUAAAAUUUAUUUUAUGGUAAGACAAUAUUUUAUAAUAAUUAAUAUCAUAUAUAUACGUAAUAAAAAUCAUGUUUAAUUAAAAUUUAAUUAAAAUUAGAUGUAUUAAUAAAGCUACUCCUCCACAACCCGCAUCCGCAACAGCACCAGCACCAGCACCAGCACCAGCAUCAGCACCAUGGGACAACUAUUGGGUUUCCUCCACCUGCCUCUAUCGCUCCUCCUCAGUAUUACCCCCAAGCCUACCAGACCGUGCCGGGUAUUCUACAAAUAUGAAAAAACCUUCUUCUCUUUUUAUUAGCUUAUCGAAAUGAAGGAUUUUGAGAUUUGGGCUUUUGUUAGAUGGAUGGUUAAUGAUAUUUUUUAGAUGAAAGAUACAAGUUUUUUAAUGUUUUAGAAGAAAAGGUGUUUAAAUAUUAGGAGUUUUUUAGCAGAGAAAGAAGAUAAAUAAAUGCAUAGAGAUACAUUAGCAAUAUUAUUUGGAUUUGGUUGUCUAAUGUAAUGAAGAAUUUUUUAAGGGUGACCUGAGUAGGUGUGGCAAGAUUCAAAGUUUUUUCUAUUAUAGCAGAUAUAUAUAUAUUAAUGGUUUAAGAAGACUAGAAGUCGGUUUCAAAGGAAGAUGAGAAAUAAAAGCAUUUAUAUAUAUGAUAUGUCAUUAAUUCAUAAACCAAAUAUAUAAAGUAUGUAAAAGUGUCAGGGGUUAAUCAUGGUGUUUUGACAAUCCGGUAACCUUCAACUUGAAGAAAACCUUAGGUUUCAAAAAUUUAUGUGAAGAGUUAGAAUGGUAUGCUUCAUGGAUCUGAAUAACUAGAACAGUGUAAGAGUGGUAUAUUGUGUCAAGUUUGGUUUCUUGUAUAUAAUUGUAUCGAAAACAAUGUUACAUGAGUUAAAAUGAAUGUUCAUCCAAUUUAACAAAGCCUGCAUUAUGUUGAUCAAAAUUUUUAAUUCAUGUUGAGGUUUCUUCCGUGAUAUCUUUGAUGUCAAGGUUAUGAUGUUGCUGAAGGGACACCUGUAAGAGAUAAGCCACCGUGCUGUGGCAUUGGAUUCGGAUGGUUCUUGUAAGUGUACAUAGUUUUCUUUGUUUUUAAAGAGUUCUUUACAUAUGAAGUAAAACAAGUAGCGACUUGAUGGAUAUGUCAUUAAGCUUUAACUUAAGCAAAUCAUUUUCCUUCAUCUCUAAUUGCCAUUUCUUUAAAAGAAAAAGAGGAAGUUUUGUAGUUUACAGUUUGGACAAAUGGAAGUUAAUAUAAUGCACUAUUUGGAUGGACUAUGGAGAUAUCCAAUCAUAUUGGAUGAGUUAUAAGAAACCUGUGAGUUCAUAUUGGGUUUACUUUAUAUCAUAAUUAGAUUGUUGAGCUGGCUGUCAUACUUAGAUGGUAUUUCACGUUGCUACUUGUUAAACUAUACCACUUUCACAUUCAUACGUGAAAUGGCUGGGAUUUAGUGCCAUUCUACUUAGCAGCCUCGUGUAAUACACAGGUGAAAUGUUUAUGUCUUCAUGUCACCUUAAAGUUCCCAUUUCCAUGACGGUAUUGUUAAGUAAAGACUGGUACAUACCCCAAAAUACGGAAAUUGUUUUGGAUGUAUACUAUACUUUACCAUGCAUGAUUUUUUACAAGUUUGCAUGGUAUUUUAUCAUUAUAUUGGUCUUUAUUUUCUAUACUCGCAGCUUCCAUUAAUAUAUUUUUAUGAAUUUUAUCAUUAUGCUGGUUUGAAGGUUCAUCAUUGGUUUCUUCAUUGGGGGCCAUCCCUGGUAUAUUGGAUUCUUUGUUUUACUUUGUGCAAGGAUAGACGACAGAGAGAAAGCAGGAUAUAUUGCAUGCACAAUUGCCGUGAGUAUCUUUUCUAUCAUUAUUUUUUUCUUUUCCAAUUUUAUGAAAGCCAUCCUUCCUGCCUUGUAUUGAUCAUCAAUUUAACCAUUAUAUAUAUGUAUCUUAUGUAUUUGUACCAUGCUUUAUCUUCAAUGCAAAUAUAAGUUAAACUACAAAGAUUGGAUUGUUAAAAAAAGUUUAAAAUGUUAAAAAAAUUGAAAAUUUUGAUUUUGUAAGAAUGAUAGAAAACCAAGGCCAGUGCUUGCAUAUGUUAUCUACUACAUGCACAAUCGGGUCGAUGUCUGUAUAUGUUUCAUGUUUAGAAAUCGUGUUCAAUUGGGUUACGAUAUGUACAAUUGAAGUGUCAAUUUAUAAUUUCCUUAUCAAGAUUACACAUUUUUUUGUUAAUAUUCGGAAUCACUCAAUGGUUAUAAACCCUGAUUGGAUACUGUCCACAAAGUCUAGUUGGAACAUCCCUUGUAUUCUUUGUCCUUUCUAAGAACUUUCCUUUCCAUCAUUCUCGCUUCUGUUUUUUUUUUCUUCCCUCUACUUUAAGUCAUUAUCUAACGUAGAUAUCCCUUGUAUUCUUUGUCCUUUCUAUGGCAAUCGAGUCAAUUGAUGGCAAGCCAAAAAAACAAAAAGAGCAGCUAUCCUGUCUUACUCGAUUGCCAUCCCUCCUGUUAAACACCAUUAAGAAAAGGAAAAUUUUAGUUAAGCUUUAAAACAGCCAUGUUUUAACGAUGUUGGUGAUGGUGCUUGUGCAGGCCCUUCUUGCUACAAUUACAAUUAUUCUUAGUGCAACAAUUAAAGCUGGUGGGUGAUAAAGCACACCUCUUUUGACUGAGAGAUGUAUAGGUUCCCAAAUAAUAUGUAUAUGCUCCCCCCCCUCCCUUUAUUUUAUUUUAUUUCCAGUAAGUUAUUGUUUAUGAUAAUUUGCAACAAAUGUUUUUGUCAUUAUUUUGUUGGUGAAUGAUAAUAAGAUUAAGCUUUACUUUCUUAAGCUCCAAUUCCUUGGACGUUGGUGAUUUUUUUAUUAUAGUUGAGUCAUUGUAUGGUAUUAAUAUAAUUUAUGUCGCUUAAAAUUUAUAACUAAAAAUAUAAAAUUUAAAUUUUACUUCAAUUUAUUUGUAUUUAUAAAUGGUUAAUUCAAACUUAUUUUUUUCCUCAUUAUAUUUUAUAUUUAAAUUAACAUUUAAACUAUUUUUCAUUAGCAAUGUUGUUAAGAAUUAUAUUUUUUAGCACCAACAUCAAACUUACUAAAAUUAAAUUUUUAACUAUUUAAAAAAAAUAUUUUUAGCUAUUUAUCAUCAUAGAGAAAAAAAGGUGACGUCACCACGCCUCAUGCUUCGACACCACAAACUAGACUCUCAUCACCCGUAUUUAUCAUCGAUUCAAAUUCCAGAACUACCUAAAAAUAUAUCUUCAAACUUCCUCUGGUUAAGUUCAUUGAUAGUCAACUUACUAUCAUUUCUAAAAAAAAAACAAAUAAAUUGGUUAAUAGUAAUCUCAAUGAUUCAAUUUUAUUCUUACCAGUAUCUGUCCUUUAGAAAGGGGCUUAUAAAAGGGGUAGAGGUGAGUAAACUUGAGCUUCAGCUUUCCACAAACACCUUAAUUUGAAGACACAGUUCUCUCAUACUAAAAAAGACAUGGAAGUUUACCUUGUAAUUAGAGAUUUGGUUUCAUUGCUUGUUGUUGGGUUAUUAAUGAUAUGGGGAUGCAGAACUUUAAACUGGGUAUGGCUGGCCCCAAAAAGGCUCGAAAGCUGCUUGAGACAACAGGGUUUUGCAGGGAAUCCUUACAGGUUCCUUUCUGGUGACAUAAAAGAGCUCUCAACUAUGAGCAGACAAACAAGAGCCAAACCUAUGCCUCUUAGUGAUGAUAUUGGGCCUUAUGUUGUUCCUUUUCAACAUCAAACUGCUAACCAGUAUGGUAUGUUUUUUUUGUUUAAUCUGCAAUUUAUGAUAAUUCUUUGUUAUUUAUGUAUGGAAUUUAUUGGGAGGAAAUGCAGGAAAGAAUUCAUUUACGUGGUUUGGUCCAAGACCAAGGGUGAACAUUACGGACCCUGAAAAAAUAAGAGAAAUACUUAACAAAUUUAAUGACUUCCAGAAGAUACAUACCAAUCCACUGCUUAAUUUGCUUGUAAGCGGCCUUGCUAACCUCGACGGAGACCGAUGGAGCAAGCGUAGAAAAAUCAUAAACCCUGCAUUUCAUCAAGAUAAGUUGAAGGUAUAGAAUAGUGAUGGGUAAUCAGACUUUACAGAAAACAUCAUACUUAAACCUAUGCUUUUCUGAUUUAGAAAUAAUUGGAUGCAGAAUAUGUUGCCAGCAUUUUAUCAAAGUUGUAGUGACAUGUUAAGCAAAUGGGAGAAGAUGGUGUGUACAAAAGGAUACAGUGAGUUAGAUGUGUGGCCUUAUCUCGUAGAUUUGACAAGAGAUGUGAUUUCCCGAUCUGCUUUUGGAAGCAGCUUCGAAGAAGGCAAACGAAUUUUCCAAUUACUAGAGGACCAACUCGUUCACAUAAUCAAAUUAAUACAAACUGUUUACAUUCCAGGAUGGAGGUAACCGUCAACUUAAUUUACUUGAAAAAGGUUGCAAAUGUUGGAAUUCGCUAAAUUCGUGUUUGUUUUCUUGAAGGUUUUUGCCAACGAAGACAAACAGGGAGAUGAAGAUGAAACACAGGGACAUAAAAGAGUUGCUUAUGGAAAUGAUAAAGAGAAGGGAGAAGGCAAUUAAAGCAGGGGAAGAGAGCAAUGAGGACUUGUUGGACAUACUUGUGGAAUCCAAUAUCAGAGAAAUGGAAGCAAAGAAUAUUGGGAUGAGCAUUGAGGAUGUGAUUGAGGAAUGCAAGCUGUUUUACUUAGCUGGCCAAGAGACCACUUCGGUCUUACUGGUGUGGACUAUGGUUUUAUUAGCAAGGUAUCCCGAUUGGCAAAGUAAAGCAAGAGAGGAGGUUUUGCAUGUUUUGGGUGACAGUAAACCUGACGCUGAUGGCCUUAAUCGUCUCAAAGUUGUAAGUCCCUAGCAUGUCUUUUGAAGGUCCGAUCAAUGAGGUCGACAACUCAAAAACUUUGUUUCUUUUUUCGCUAAUUCUACAGGUAACAAUGAUAUUGUACGAGGUUCUAAGGCUGUACCCACCGGUGGUUGAGCUAGAACGUUCCGUUCCAAAAGAAAUAAAACUGGGGAAUUUGUUGUUACCAGUAGGAACAGAAGUUUCGGUUCCGAUCCUGCUGAUCCACCAUGACAAAGAUCUUUGGGGCGAUGACGCACGGGAAUUUAAGCCAGAGCGGUUCGCGGAAGGGGUUUCCAAAGCAACAAAGAGUCAAGUCACGUUUCUGCCAUUCGGAUGGGGUCCUAGGAUCUGUAUUGGCCAAAAUUUUGCUAUGAUGGAAGCCAAAAUGGCGAUGGCUAUGAUUCUCCAACGCUUCUGGUUCGAGCUUUCCCCUUCCUAUGCUCACUCUCCUUACGGCAGGGCAACUCUUCGUCCACAGCAUGGUGCACAGAUAAUUUUACAUAAACUUGGCUGUAAUUGAAUUGUUAUGUAAACAAAUCUUUGUGAAAACAUAGCGUUUUAGUUUAUCGUCAAAGUCCGGUGUCUGUAAUGGUACAAAUUCGAUGCAUGAAUAGUAAAGUUUGAGAUGUUUGGUGAAGUCCGAAAUAAUAUGCAGAAAUUGAGUGUGGUAAUUAUCAAUCAAAUAAUUCGGUACAAAGACUUACAUGGAAAUUAAAGCAGGGGGAGUUGAAAAUGACUACUCUGCUUUGGGCAUCAAUUUAGAAAGAUUUAAAGUACAAAUGUGUUAUUAGUUAAGGGAUUUGUUUUAAAGAGGGAAUGACAAUUAAACCUCAUGGUUGAUUUGUGGAAGGGAACCGAUGAUGGGAUGAUUAUUCUUAGUGGUAAAAAAAACUAUUGUGGAGGUUAUUAUACUUGUUAUCAUCGGCUUAAAAUUCGAAUGGGUUCAAGUCGGAUUAUAUCGAGCUUGUAAGAUGAGUUCACGGAUCAAAUUUGCAUAAUAAAAAUACUUAAAUGAAAAAAAUUUCUAUUUUAGAGGGACCAGAGCCCCUACCAAUUCCCGGCUCAGCUACUAAACAAUACCCAUAUCAUAUAAAUAAAUACCACCAUAAAAAAAACUCAAAGAAAAACACUGACAAAUGAUAAAUAGAUAGAUGUUGGAUAAGUGUCCAAAAUAUGAUUUAAGUGAAGAUACAUGGGGUAGGUGUCACGGAAAUGUGAAUACAAGAAUACUACUAAUGGGAUGUGUACAGUUGAAUGUAGGGAGCAAAAAGAGGAGUGAAUCAUUUUGGUAACAUUGGGACAAGAAACAUAAUGAACAAAAUGGAAGGAGAGGAAGCUAGUAAAAGAAAUUUUUUGGGUCAUAUAAUUUGUUUGGCAUAUAUUUUUAUAAUUUUUAAAUAUCAUUUUGGACUUGAAUUAUAAUUUUUUUAUAUAUUAUCUUAAAAUUGUAUAAAUUUUAAGGAGUUAAAACAAAAUUAUUCUAUUUUUAGAUGGUUAAAGUAGAGAUGAUAAUGGGUUGAGCUAUUCGGCCCAGCCUGACGAUCCACCCGAAAAAUAGGAAGGUUUGGGUAAAAAUAUAGGCUUGAAAUAUGAAUUUGAGCAAAAAAAGAGGCCCGUUUAGAAAAUGGGCCGAGCCUCGGGUAAAACCUUUUGGGUCUAGACCUGACCUAAAUUAUAUAUUAAAUAUAUAUAUUUUUAUUUUUAAUCAAAUAUACUUUUGUUUUAUUAUUAAUUUGGUUAUUAUUUUAGUUCUAAUUUGUUUCAAUUUUAAUAUAACUACUUUUUAUUAUAUUUUCAAUUUGUGCAUUGUUUUAAGAAUUAUUUUAGUCUCAUUAUUUAUUUAUUUUUUAUUUUAAUAUUUGUUUUAAAAUUUUUUAUUUAUUGAAAUAAGCUAAAAAAAUUAAUAUGGGUUGGACCAGACCGGGCUCGGGCCUAGUAAUUUUCUUUUGGGCCGGACUUAAACAAAUUUUUAAGCCCAUAUUUUGAAUUGGGUCCUACACUAGAAAAUGGACCUAAAAUUUUGUAUUACCUUUAGGUCAGAGCUAUCCUCGUUUUGCAUUUCUUUGAGAUUCAGCCUUAUUUACUUUUGAUUGCCCACUCAAUAGAGGGUUGAGUAGAAAUAUUUGGUGAAGCAAGCUAAGCUAUCAAUCAAGGUGUGCAUAAUUAUUUAAAUGUAAUUCUAAUAUUAAAAUAAAAUUUUUAUUAAUAUAGUAUCAACAAGCAUUAAAUGUAAUCAUCAUAUACUAUUAAAUUUUCAAUAAGAGAAAACAAGCUUGAACUUUAAAAACGAUGUUACUAAAAACAUUAUCACAAAUCUUGAAAUAUAAAAAAUACUUUUUAAUAUAAUAAAAAAAUAAUUUUAAAACCGAGAUGAAUAAAAUUCUAAUUUUAAUUAAUGAUACCAACAACAAAUCAAUAUUUAAAUUAAAAUUUAUCUUAAUUUAAUAUAAUAAAAUUGGACUUGAAUAUUGAAUUUUUGAGUCUUGGGCAAAGUAGAGGUGCUCAUGGGCCGGGUUGGGUCGGGUUUGGGAAAAAUUUCGGCCCGCAUCCUAGGCUCGGGCUCGGCCCGACCCAAAUAUGGGCCUAAAAUUUUGUCUAGGCCUAGCCCGGCCCGGCCCAACUCAUUUUUUUUAAUAAACACCAAAAAUUUAUUUUGAAAAUAAAAAAAUAAAAAAAGUAUUUUAAAAAUAUUUUAAAAUUUUUAAAAAAUAUAUAUAUUUAUUAUAUAUUCGGGCCGGGCCAGGCCCGAGCCAAAAAAGUGGCGCCCAAGGCCCGGCCUGUUUUCUAAACGGGACUCAUUUUUUACCCAAACCCAUAUUUCGGGCCUAUAUUUCUACCCGAAUCUCUCAUAUUUAGGGCGAACCGUCGGGCCGGACCGGGCCGCCCGGCCAUGAACACCUCUAGGACAAAGUCACUCAAUGAAUGCAUGGAAAGAAAUAAUGCAACUUGGUGAUAGCUUUUGUUGGAGUUAUAUGCUUUUUUUUUACGUAGUGGAACUUUCGGUGGAUUUUCAAGUUUCAUGAACUUUAUACUCUAUGCUUUACGUGAAAAAAAAAAUUCAUUGGACUUAAAAGUCUACCAAAAGUUUCACUAAAAAAAAAACCAUUGCUACAAGAUUACAACAUAAAGUUACAAUAAGAGCUUAUAACUCAACAAAGGCUAUCAAUAAAUAAUCUCAAACAAAUUAAAGAGAAAUGUUGAGAGUACCACUCGAAUAGUGAUUAACUUUAAAAAUUGAAAACCCAAAGUUAUAAUAUCCCAAACGAAAUCAAACCAUAAACAUUAAAUUUUUCGAGUCUACUAGAUACUGCAAAAAAUUCAGCUCCAACAGACACCAAAUGAACCUAUGAUCGAAGAAAAUACGAAAACUAGUCUAGCUAAAUCAAGCUGCCAAACUUACUUUUUAUCUUAUCUUUAAUUUGCUGUGAAAUUCAAAACUAAGGUUUUGUACUUAGAACAACUUUCAAAAAGUUAAUUUUGAAAAAUGGAUUGAAUUUUCAAAAUAGAUGAUAUUUUAUUGUGUUAAAAUUUUAUUCGUUGUUUGAAAAAAAAUUUAAAUCAUUUUCUUAGAAUUAUUUUUAGUGAAACAAACAUAUCAUAAAUAUAUUUGUUAUAAAAUAUUUAUAUUAAUAUUUUCUUUUAACAAUUAAAAUAUAUUUUGUGAUAAGGUAUAUUUUAUAAUAAUUAAUAUCAUAUAUACUUAAUAAUAAAUCAUGUCUAAUUAAAAUUUAAUUUCAAUUAAAUAUAUUAAUAAAGCUACAUAUAAUCAUAUUUUAUAUAAUAAAAAUAUUAAUAUAAAUAUUUUUUUAAUAAUAUAUUAAAGAAUAUUUAAAAUUUAAAUUUAUUAUUACUAAGAUUAAUUAUUAAAAUAAAAAUGUAAUGUUAAAUAAUUUAUCCAAUGAUAAGUUAUAUUAAUAAUUUAUUAUAUUAUUAAAUAUAAAUAAUUAAAUAUGUAUGUUUAAUAAUAUUAUGUUAUAAUAUUUAUUAUUAAUAUUUUAAUAUUUUUAAACAACCAUGUUUUAAAGAUGGUGGUGAUGGUGAUGGUGCAGGCCCCCUUGUUACAAUUACAAUAUUUUUAAGUGGGAUGCAUGUAAUAUAUUGUUAGGGUUUUAGAGUGUGUGGUCUUUAAAAGGGUUAAAUUAUAUAUUUAUAUAAUAUGAUUAUUGUUUAUAAAUAUAAUAUUGUAGAUAAACUUUUAUGCAUGUCAAUAUGUAUCCUACUCUGGGGUUAAUAUGUAUUUUUAGAUAUGGAUUCACCUAUAUAAUAGUAUGAAUCCAUCAUGCGGUCUCAUGAAAUAUACAAACACAUAUCGUGCGAACACAAAGUACGAACAAUAAAAAGUACAAAUCAAGACCAAUUGAGUAAUUGAAUAGCAGAUAGGUAAUAAUGACUAUCCCCUCUUGUUUGAAUUUAUUUUAUUUCCAGUGAGUUAUCGUUUAUGAUAAAUUUACAACAAAUGUUUUUAUCAUUAUUUUGUUGGUAAAUGAUAAUAAGAUUAAACUUUACUUUCUUAAGCUCCUUCAAUUCUUUGGACGUUAGCAAGUAAACUUGAGCUUCAGCAUUCCACAAACACCUUAAUUUGAAGACACAGUUCUCCCAUACUAAAAACAACAUGGACGUUUACCUUGUAAUUAGAGAUUUGGGCUCAUUGUUAGGUUAUUAAUGAUACGGGGAUGGAGAGCUUUAAACUGGGUAUGGCUGGCCCCAAAGAGGCUCGAAACGUGCUUGAGACUAGAGGUCCAGGCAAAUUUUUAGGCCCAUUUUUUAGGCCUGGACUGGGCCCGACUCGAAAUAUGAGCUUAAAAAUUUGUCUAAGUUCGGUCCAAAAGAAAAUUGUUAAGCCUAAGCCCGGCCCAUAUUAAAUUUUACAACACCAAAAAACUAUAUAUUUAAUAUAUAUAUUUGAUUAAAAAGUAUAUUUAAUUAAAAAUAAAAAUAUAUAUUUAAUAUAUAAUUCGGGCCGGGCCGAACUCGGGCCAAAAAAGUUUUACUCGGGGCUGGUCCGUUUUCUAAACAGACCUCGUUUUUUUGUCAAAAUCCAUAUUUUAGGCUUAUAUUUUUACCCGAAACUUCCUAUUUUUCGGGUGAACCGUCAGGCCGGACUAGGUAGCCCAACCAAUGAUCACCUCUACUUGAGACAACAGGGUUUUGCAGGGAAUUCUUACAGGUUCGUUUCUGGCGACAUAAAAGAGCUCUUCACUAUAAGCAUACAAACAAGAGCCAAACCUAUGCCUCUUAGUGAUGAUAUUGGGCCUUAUGUUGUUCCUUUUCAACAUCAAACCGUCAAUCAGUAUGGUAUGUUUUUUAAUUUAAUCUGCAAUUUAUGAUAAUUCUUUGCUAUUUAUGUAUGGAAUUUAUUGGGAGGAAAUGCUGGGAAGAAUUCAUUUACGUGGAUUGGUCCAAGAUCAAGGGUGAACAUUACGGACCCGGAAAAAUAAGAGAAAUACUUAACAAAUUUAAUGACUUCCAGAAGGUACGUACCAAUCCACUGCUUAAUUUGCUUGUAAGCGGCCUUGUUAACCUCGAAGGAGACCGAUGGAGCAAGCAUAGAAAAAUCAUAACCCUUCAUUUCAUCAAGAUAAGUUGAAGGUAUAGAAUAGUGAUGGGUACUUAGACUUAAUUUACAGAAAACAUCAUACUUAAAUCUAUGCUUUUCUGAUUUAGAAAUGAUUGGAUGCAGAAUAUGUUGCCAGCAUUUUAUCAAAGUUGUUGUGACAUGUUAAGCAAAUGGGAGAAGAUGGUGUGUACAGAAGGAUACAGUGAGUUAGAUGUGUGGCCUUAUCUUGUAGAUUUGACAAGAGAUGUGAUUUCCCGAUCUGCUUUUGGAAGCAGCUUCGAAGAAGGCAGACGAAUUUUCCAAUUACUAGAGGACCAACUCGUUCUCACAAUCAAAUUAAUACAAACUGUUUACAUUCCAGGAUGGAGGUAACCCUCAACUUAAUUUACUUGAAAAAGGUUGCAAAUGUUGGAAUUGGCUAAAUUCGUGUUUGUUUUCUUGAAGGUUUUUGCCAACAAAGACAAACAGGGAGAUGAAGAUGAAACACAGACAUAAAAGAGUCGCUUAGGGAAAUGAUAAAGAGAAGGGAGAAGGCAAUUAAAGCAGGGGAAGAGAGCAAUGAGGACUUGUUGGACAUACUUGUGGAAUCCAAUAUCAGAGAAAUGGAAGCAAAGAAAAAGGGGAUGAGCAUUGAGGAUGUGAUUGAGGAAUGCAAGCUGUUUUACUUUGCUGGCCAGGAGACCACUUCGGUCUUGCUGGUGUGGACUAUGGUUUUAUUAGCAAGGUAUCCCGAUUGGCAAAGUAAAGCAAGAGAGGAGGUUUUGCAUGUUUUGGGUGACAGUAAACCUGAUGCUGAUGGCCUUAAUCGUCUCAAAGUUGUAAGUCCCUAGCAUGUCUCUUGAAGGUCCGAUCUCUGAGGUCGACAACUCAAAAACUUGGUUUCUUUGUUUCGCUAAUUCUACAGUUAACAAUGAUAUUGUACGAGGUUCUAAGGCUGUACCCACCAGUGAUUGAGCUAGGACGUUCCGUUCCAAAAGAAAUAAAACUGGGAAAUUUGUUGUUACCAGCAGGAACAGACGUUUCGGUUCCAAUCCUGCAGAUCCACCAUGACAAAGAUCUUUAGGGCGACGACGCACGGGAAUUUAAGCCACAGCGGUUCACGGAAGGGGUUUCCUAAGCAACAAAGAGUCAAGUCACGUUUCUGCCAUUCGGAUGGGGUCCUAGGAUCUGCAUUGGCCAAAACUUUGCCAUGAUGGGAACCAAAAUGGCGAUGGCUAUGAUUCUCCAACGCUUCUGGUUCGAGCUUUCCUCUUCCUAUGCUUACUCUCCUUACAACAUGGCAACUCUUCGUCCACAGCAUGGUGCACAGAUAAUUUUACAAAAACUUGGCUGUAAUUGAAUUGUUAUGUAAACAAAUCUUUGUGAAAAUAUAGUGUUUUAGUGUAUCGUCAAAGUCUGCCUGUAAUGGUACAAUUCCGAUGCAUGAAUAGUAAAUCUUGAGAUGUUUGGUGAAGUCCGAAAUAAUAUGCAGAAAUUGAGUGUCUUGAAUGGAUGUAGUAUUUAAUGGUGGACAUAGUUGAGGGACUAAUGUGGUAAUUAUCAAACAAAUAAUUGCAUAUGGUACAAAGACUUGUAUGGAAAUUAGAGCAGGGCGAGUUGAAAAUUACUACUUUGCUUCGGGCAUCAAUUUAGAAAGAUUUAAAGUACAAAUGUAUUAUUAGUUUAAGGGAUUUGUUUUAAAGAAGGAAUGACAAUUAAACCUCAUGGUUGAUGUGUGGAAGGGAACCAAUGAUGGGAUGAUUACUCUUAGUGGUAAAAAAAAAAACUAUUAAGGUGGUUAUUAUAGUUGUUAUCACCGGCCCAAAAUUCGAAUAGGUUCAGGUCGGAUUAUAUUGAGCUUGUAGAUGAGUUUGCAUGAUAAUAGGUGUUCACAGAAAGAUAUCUAUAGUUUCCUACAAAGUCACAUGUGAGAUCGUGCAUUGGGACCGCAUAAAAAUGUUUUAUGUUUAGAAUAUGAUACGUGUCUAUGUGUAUGGAAUCUACCUAAUAUAUCAUAUUAAUUAAUAGUAUCAAUUGCGGAGCCAAAAAAUUAUUUCUGAGGGGUCAGAAUUAAAUUGUAUAUUUUUACAAAAAUAAAAAUUAAAUUUCACUAUUUUAAUAGUUUAUUUCUUUUUAAUUUUUAAAUGAUUAAAUUAAAUUUUUAUAAAUUUUUGGGAUCAAAGUACAAUUUUAUCAUUUCUAAUUUAAAAUUUUAUAAAAUAUAAAAAGUUUAUAUGAAAAGUUUUCUAUUUUAGAGUGGCCAAAGCCCCUGCCAACUUCCGACUCGAUCACUAAACAAUAUAAAUAAAUAAAUACCACCAUCUAAAAGACUCAAGAAAAACACUCAACGAUAAAUAGAUAGAUGUUGGGUAAAGAUACGUUUGGAUGGGCGGUGCGUUUACUUGCGGUUAGUAUAAAAAUAGCGGUGGCGGUUAGAUUAGAUACUAUAGCAACACUGUAGCGUAAGACAAAAAAUAAGCUAAACGUACUGCACUGCACUUAAUCGCCCAUCCAAACUCACCCUAAGUGUACAAAAUAUGAUUUAAGUGAAGAUACGUAGGGUAGGUGUCAUGGAAAUGUAAAAGACAAGAAUCCCACUAAUGUAUGGGAUGUGUACAGCUGAAUGUAGGGAGCAAAGAGGAGUGAAUCAUUUUGGUAACAUUUGGACAAGAAACAUAAUGAACAAAAUGAAAGGAGAGGAAGCUAGUAAAAGAUUUUUUUGAGUUAUAUAAUUUGUUUGGCAUAUAUUUUUAUAAUUUUUAAAUAUCAUUUUGGAGUUGAAUUAUAAUUUCUUUUUAUGUUUUAAAACAUAAUUAUUCUAUCUUCAAAGGGUUAGAGUAGAGGUGAGCAUGGGUCGGGCUACUCGGCCCGAAAUGUGAGAGAUUUGGGCAAAAAUAUAGGCUCAAAAAAUGGACUUGGACAAAAAAAUAUAAGACCCGUUGAAAAAUGGGCCGGGCAUUGGGUAAGGCAUUUUUGGCCCUGGGCCCGGCCCAAUCCUAAUUCACUAAAGGACAAAAAAAAUUUGAUUUUUAAAUAUUAUUUUCUUCCUAUUUUGCUACCAUUUUACUAUUAUGUUGCUACUAUUUUGUUGUUAUUUUUUGGAUAUUGUAUAAAACUUAUUUUAUUGUUAAUUUUGUUAUUAUUUUAAAGACAUUUGUUAAUUUUGUUAUUAUUUUAGAGACAUUUGCUUGUUAAGUUGUAUCUAUCUUAGUGUUAUUUAAGUGUACAUAUUUUUUAAAAUUUAUUUUCAAUUUAUUGGGAAAUAUUUAUUUUGAUGUUUUUAGUAUUUUGGAUGUAUUAUAUAUAUUAAAAUUAUAUAAAAAUUAAUAUGGCCGAGCCGAGUCAGGCCCAGAUUUUAGCAUUUUUAUUCAGGUCGGGCUUGAGCAAAAUUUUAAGCCCAUUUUUUGGGCCAAACCAGGCCUGGGCUUAGCAAAUGGGCCUAAAUUUUUAGUCAAGCCCGACCUAAACCCGAUCCGGCCCAUGCUCACCUCUAGAUCAGAGCUGCCCUCGCUUUGCAUUUCUUUGAGAUUCAGUCUUAUCUACUGUUGAUUGCCCACUCAAUGGAGGGUUGAGUAGAAAGAUUUGGUGAAGCAAGCUAAGCUAUCAAUCAAGGUUGGAGAAAGCUUAGGAGGUCACAAUGCAUAAUUAUUUAAAUGUAAUUCUAAUAUUUAAAUAAAAUUUAUUAAUAUAGUAUUAACAAGCCCUAAAUGUAAUGAGUAUAUACUAUUACAUUUUUAAGAAGAGAAAACAUGUUUGAACCUUAAAAACAUCAUUAUUAAAAAUGAUAAUUACAAAUUUUAAAAUAUAAAAAAUAUAAUUAAAAAUUAAUUUUAAACCCGAGCUGGAUAAAAUUCUAAUUUUAGAUAACGAUACUAAUAAGAAAUCAAUAUUAAAAUGAAAAUGAAAAGUAAUUUAAUAUAAUUUUUGAGUCUUGGGCAAAGGCACUCAAUGAAUGCUUGGAAAGAAAUAAUGCAACUUGGUGAUAGCUUUUGUUGGAGUAGUAUGCUCUUAUUAUAGUUUUAUGUUUUUAUCUUGCAAAAACAACAUAUUGGAGUUUUCGGCAUGAUUUUUUCUUAAUACUUUACAUGAAAAAUAAUAAUGGGACUUAAAAAUCUAUCAAAAGCUUCACCAUAAUAAUAAUAAUAAUAAUAAUAAUAAUAAAUUGCUACAAUAUUACAACACAAAGUUACAAUAAGAGCUUAUAACUCAACAAAGGUUAUCAAUAAAUAAUCUCAGGCAAGCUAAAGAGAAAUGUUGAGAAUACCACCCGAAUAGUGACUGACUUUAAAAGUUGAAAACCCGAAGCUAUAGUAUCUCAAACGAAAUCAAACCAUUAACAUUAAAAUUUUCAAGUCUACUAGCUACUGUAAAAAAUGCAGCUCCAACAUACACCAAAUGAGUCUUUGAUCGAAGAAAGUACAAAAACUAGUCUGGGUAAACCAAGCUGCCAAACUUACUUAUCUUAUCUUUAAUUUUGCAGUGAAAUUAAAAAUUAAGUUUUUGUUUAUUUCACUUGGAACAACUUUCAAAAAAUUAUUUUUGAAAAAUGGAUUGGUUUUUCGAAAUAGAUGAUAUUUUAUUGUGUUAAAAUUUUAUUCGUUGUUGGAAAACUUUUUUUAAAUCAUUUUCUUAAAGUUAUUUUUAGUGAAACAAACAUAACAUAAAUAUAUUUGUUACAAAAAAAUUAUAUUAGUAUUUUCUUUUGACAAUUAAAAUUUAUUUUAUGAUAAGACAAUAUUUUGUAAUAAUUAAUAUCAUAUAUAUAUACGUAAUAAAAAAAUCUUGUUUAAUUAAAAUUUAAUUAAAAUUAAAUAUAUUAAUAAAGCUACAUAUAAUCAUAUUUUUUAUAAUUAAAAUAUUAAUAUAAAUAUUUUUCAAUAAUAUAUUAAAAUAUUAAAAUUUAAAUUAUUAUUACUUAAAUUAAUUAUUAAAAUAAAAAAUUUAAUAUUAAAUAAUUUAUUCAAUGAUAAGUUUUAUUAAUAAUUUAUUGUAUUAUUAAAUAUAAUUAAUUAAAUAUGCAUAUUUAAUAAUAUUACGUUAUAAUAUUUUAAUAUUCUUAAACAGCCAUGUUUUUAAGAUGCUGGUGAUGGUGAUGCUGCGGGCCUCUCUUGUUACAAUUACUAUAAUUUUUUGUGCAAUAAUUGAAGUUGUUGGGUGGUCAAGCAAACCUCUUUUGACUGAGAUGCAUAUAAUAUACCCGCAUGUCCCCGCCUCCUAAAAUUUAAAUUUGUUAUUUGAAUCUUUAAAUUUUUUAAUAUAAUAUACCCGCAUGUCCCCGCCUCCUAAAAUUUAAAUUUGUUAUUUGAAUCUUUAAAUUUUUUAAAAAUUUUAAAUUCAUAAAAGUAAAAUUAUACUUUGACCCUCUAAAAUUAUAAAAAUUUAAUUAAUCUUUUAAAUUCAUUGGGCCCCUAAUAUAUUGUUCAGGCUUCACCCUUGAUACUGAUGUUGACUAUUUUAGAGUAUGUGUCUUCUUUAACAGGGUUAAAUUAUAUAUUUAUAUAAUAUAGUUAUUGUUUAUGGACGUGACAUCGUAACUAGGUUCUUAUGCAUGUCAACAUAUAUCCUAUUUUAAGGUUAACACGUAUUUUUAAAUGUGAAUUCACCUAUAUAAUGGUAUGAACCAUCAUGCAGUCUCAUAAAAUAUGCGAAUAUAUGUCGUGCGAACACAAAGUACAAUCCACACAGAAUACGAAUUAAGACCCAAUUGAAUAAUCGGAUACGAAUCAGUAAUAAUGAAUUUCAUAACAGCCACCAACCCCUCUUUUGUUUUAAUUUAUUUUAUUUCCAGUAAGUUAUUGUUUGUGAGAAUUCACAACAAAUGCUUUUGUCAUUAUUUUGUUGGUAAAUAAUAAUAAGAUUAAACUUUACUUUCUUAAGCUCCUUCAAUUCUUUGGAAGUUGGUGGUUUUUUAUUCUAAUCUUAUUUUUUUUAUUAAUUUCUUUUUUUAUAAUAAAUGUGUUUAUAGAUCAGGUUGGAUUAUAAUUGAAUCAUUGUCUGGUAUUAACAUAAUUUAAAUCGAUUAAAAUUUAUUCGACUGGAAAUAUAAAUUUAAAAUUUUACUUCAAUUUAUCUUAAUUUAUAAAUUGUGAAUUUAAAUUUAUUUAUUUUCUCUCAUUAUAUUCAGUUUUUCGGAUCAUAUUUGGCCCAGAACAAAAACUAGAACAAAAAAACAAAUAUAUAUGUUUUCCAAAAAUUAAAUUGUUAACUUUAAAAAAAUAUAUUUUUAGCUAUUUAUCAUCAUAGAGAAAAACAAAUAAGGUCACCUCGCCUUAUGCUUCAACACCUCAACCUAGAUUCUCAUCACCUGUAUUUAUCAUCGAUUCAGAUUUUUAUUUUUACUAUAUUCUAGAUCUACCUAUAAAUAUAUCUUCAAACUUCCUCUGGUUAAGUUCAUUCAUAGAUAGGUGAGUAAACUUGAGCUUCAGCUUCAACAAACACCUUAGUUUGCAAUUCUCUCAUACUAAAAAUAUGGAAGUUUACCAUGUAAUUAGAGAUUUGGUCUCAUUGCUUGUUGUUGGUUUAUUAAUGAUAUGGGGAUGGAGAGCUUUAAACUGGGUAUGGUUGGCCCCAAAGAGGCUCGAAAGGUGCUUGAGACAACAGGGUUUUGCAGGGAAUCCUUACAGGUUCCUUUCUGGUGACAUAAAAGAGCUCUUAACUAUGAGCAGACAAACAAGAGCCAAACCUAUGCCUCUUAGUGAUGAUAUUGGGCCUUAUGUUGCUCCUUUUCUUCAUCAAACUGUCAACCAGUAUGGUAUGUUUAAUUAUUAUUUAAUCUUCAAUUUAUGAUAAUUCUUUGUUAUUUAUGAAUGGAAUUUAUUGGGAGGAAAUGCAGGAAAGAAUUCAUUUACGUGGAUUGGUCCAAGACAAAGGGUGAACAUUAUGGACCCUGAAAAAAUAAGAGAAAUAUUUACCAAAUUUAAUGACUUCCAGAAGGUGCGUACCAAUCCACUGCUUACUUUGCUUGUAAGCGGCCUUGUUAACCUCGAAGGAGACCGAUGGAGCAAACAUA
rnacentral:lncRNA from 1 species